rnacentral:rRNA from 1 species
GACGUAGGGCGCGAGCGUUGUCCGGAUUUAUUGGGCGUAAAGCGUCUGUAGGUGGCUUUUCAAGUCCGCCGUCAAAUCCCAGGGCUCAACCCUGGACAGGCGGUGGAAACUGCCAAGCUGGAGUACGGUAGGGGCAGAGGGAAUUUCCGGUGGAGCGGUGAAAUGCGUAGAGAUCGGAAAGAACACCAACGGCGAAAGCACUCUGCUGGGCCGACACUGACACUGAGAGACGAAAGCUAGGGGAGCGAAUGGG